UCUCUCUGCGCUCUCUCUCUCAUGAUGACGUCACUCUGGGCAUUACAGCGCAGGCGGUCUAAUCAAGUGUUCACUAUGCUUAAAUCCUUGGUUCUCCGAAGUUCGAUAAAAUGAAGAGCCGGAAACUCGAGUUUCUCGGACUGCGAGUAGUUGAGCGGAAAUUUUAAAUCAGAUUAUUGAACCACUAUUUACAUCUAUACAUAUUUACAAAUUUAUUUGUUUGAAAUGCUCUCUUUGUCAUGAUACAAAAUGUUUUAAUAGGAAUAUAUAUAUAAAUACAUAAAUAUACCAACAACAAUUAAGGAAAAAUAUUUCCCAACA